CCGUGGGAGGCCUGGUGCCCCAGGCUGGCUCAGGGAUCGAGGACUCUGGACACCCCCCGGCACUGAUUCCUGCAAACCCAGAGGCAGUGCAUCGACGUAAGCCAGGAAGGAGGCAGGCUGCAGUGAGGAUGAGUGAACCGAAGCUGCACACAGCAACACGGCCGGGUCUGAAACACACCGUGUGGAGUGACAGAAGCUGAAAGAAUACGUCAGCUUGAUUCCAUUCAUAUCAAGGUCAAAACUAGGCAAACACUAUUCUGUGCUGUUAGGGAGGCUAAGGAAGCAAAACCAGAGGGACGUUGAAAGACUGAGCGUGACACUGAGUGCUUCCCCAGUUUGCCUCUUCUCUCCAGCUCACGGCUGCUCACAGAGAGGAAGGGAAAGGGAGAGAGAGAAACAUCAACGAGGAGAGAGCGUCAUUGACCGUCUGCCUCCUGCACGCCCCCCUCUGAGGAUCGAGCUUGCAACCCAGGCAUGUGCGCUUGACCGGAAUCACACCUGGGGCCCUCAGUCCGCAGGCCGACGCUCUAU